rnacentral:rRNA from 1 species
UGCCUUUAGUUGCCAGCAUUAAGUUGGGCACUCUAGAGGGACUGCCAGGGAUAACCUGGAGGAAGGUGGGGAUGACGUCAAAUCAUCAUGCCCCUUAUGCUUAGGGCUACACACGUGCUACAAUGGGUGGUACAGAGGGCAGCCAAGUCGUGAGGCGGAGCUAAUCCCUUAAAGCCAUUCUCAGUUCGGAUUGUAGGCUGAAACUCGCCUACAUGAAGCUGGAGUUACUAGUAAUCGCAGAUCAGAAUGCUGCGGUGAAUGCGUUC